rnacentral:misc_RNA from 1 species
AACGCACAUUGCGCCCCUUGGUAUUCCGUGGGGCAUGCUUGUUCGAGCGUCAUUUGUACUCUCAAGCUUUGCUUGGUGUUGGGUGUUUGUCCUUUCCAUUGCGUUUGGACUCGCCUCAAAUUCAUUGGCAGCCUAUAUAUUGGUUUGAAGCGCAGCACAUUUUGCGGUUCUGUCGGAUACUAUUAGCGUCCAUAAAGCACAAUUAACACUUUUGACCUCGGAUCAAGUAGGGAUACCCGCUGAACUUAA